UGAGCGUUCAGUUACUUGACGUAGACCCGAAACCGGGCGACCUACCCAUGAGCAGGAUGAAGCGAAAGUAAAAUUUCGUGGAGGUCCGAACCCACGAGCGUUGAAAAGCUCGGGGAUGACUUGUGGGUAGCGGUGAAAUUCCAAUCGAGCCCGGAGAUAGCUGGUUCUCCCCGAAAUAGCUUUAGGGCUAGCCUCAAGGUGAGAGAUACGGAGGUAGAGCACUGAAUGUCCUAGGGGGUAUUGCACCUACCGAAGACUAUCAAACUCCGAAUGCCGUCAUCUUAUACUUGGGAGUCAGACUGUGGGUGAUAAGAUUCAUAGUCGAAAGGGCAACAGCCCAGAUCGUCAGCUAAGGUCCCUAAAUGUAAGUUAAGUGGUAAAGGAUGUGGGAUUGCACAGACAACCAGGAUGUUGGCUUAGAAGCAGCCACUCAUUCAAAGAGUGCGUAAUAGCUCACUGGUCGAGUGAUCCUGCGCCGAAGAUUUCCGGGGCUAAAACUUACUACCGAAGCUACGGCAUCAGUAAUGAUGGGUAGGGGAGCUUCCCAUACGGGUUGAAGCAUGACCGUAAGGACAUGUGGACAGUAUGGGAGUGAGAAUGUUGGCAUGAGUAGCGAGAUGUGGGUGAGAAUCCCACAGGCCGUAAACCCAAGGUUUCCAGGGGAAGGUUCGUCCGCCCUGGGUUAGUCGGGACCUAAGCUGAGGCCGAAAGGCGUAGGUGAUGGACAACAGGUUGAUAUUCCUGUAC
rnacentral:rRNA from 1 species